rnacentral:rRNA from 1 species
AUGGCUCCCAACUUCGGCCGUUCCAUCUCCUUCCCUCUCACCCCGACGAGGUCCUUCUCAAAGUCGUCCCGCCACCUCCGCUCUGUCAGCCUCCCCGGCACGACCUCCUCCCACCCGCUCCUCGCCAACCUCCACGCCCACAUCGCCGCCGUCCGUUCCUGGAUCCAGGACACGGCCUCCCUCCAGGCCGGCCUCGCCAACAUCCACGCGCUCCACGCCGCGCUCGCCGACCUCCUCCUCCUCCCAGCGUCCGUGGCCGCGCUUCAGUGCACCACCAGCAAUACCGGCGACCGCCUUCUAGACGCCUUCCUCCUCCUCGCCGACGCGCACCAGGGGCUUCCAGGAGUGCCUCCUAGAGCUCAGGCAGGCCGCCGCUGA